rnacentral:rRNA from 1 species
CAAGGUUGAAACUCAAAGGAAUUGACGGGGGCCCGCACAAGCAGUGGAGUAUGUGGUUUAAUUCGAAGCAACGCGAAAAACCUUACCAGGUCUUGACAUCUAUCGCUAUCCCAAGAGAUUGGGAGUUCCCUUCGGGGACGGUAAGACAGGUGGUGCAUGGUUGUCGUCAGCUCGUGUCGUGAGAUGUUGGGUUAAGUCCCGCAACGAGCGCAACCCUUACUGUUAGUUGCUACGCAAGAGCACUCUAACGGGACUGCCGUUGACAAAACGGAGGAAGGUGGGGAUGACGUCAAAUCAUCAUGCCCUUUAUGACCUGGGCUACACACGUACUACAAUGGCCGCAAACAACGAGCAGCGAAACCGCGAGGUGGAGCGAAUCUAUAAAAGCGGUCUCAGUUCGGAUUGCAGGCUGCAACUCGCCUGCAUGAAGUCGGAAUUGCUAGUAAUCGCGGAUCAGCAUGCCGCGGUGAAUACGUUCCCGGGCCUUGUACACACCGCCCGUCACACCAUGAGAGCCGGUAACACCCGAAGUCAGUAGUCUAACCGCAAGGGGGACGCUGCCGAAGGUGGGGCUGGUGAUUGGGGUGAAGUCGUAACAAGGUAGCCGUAUCGGAAGGUGCGGCUGGAUCACCUCCUUUCUAAGGA